GCAGGUGUGGCGGAAUUGGCAGACGCGCUAGCUUCAGGUGCUAGUGACGCAUGAGUCGUGUGGGUUCAAGUCCCGUCACCUGCACCA
rnacentral:tRNA from 1 species